GGGGAUGUUGCCCUUUUUUGGCCAUUUUAGGGACUAUUUUGUCGCCCCCGCGGGGCCCUUUAUAAGGACGGGGCAGCGCCGGCAGCGCCCGGCCGGAGCCAGCCCCGCCACGGCCCGGAGCUGCUGGAUUUUAUCCAAAAACCUCCGAAAAACGGCUUUAUUUCCUGCCGAGAGCUCGAAAAAUGCCUUUAUUUCUUACCCAGAGCUCAAAAAAAUGGCUUUAUUUCUUACCCAGAGCUCAAAAAAAUGGCUUUAUUUCUUACCCAGAGCUCAAAAAAUGGCUUUAUUGCCGGCAAAAAGCUCUUAAAGCUGCGAUAUUUUCUAUAGAAAGAGCUCCCAAGAGUGCUUUUUUUUUUUUUUUUUCCAUAAAAGCGGCUCCUAAAUCUUUAUUUAAAAAGAGAUGAAAGCGGUUUCCUUUAAGGAAAACGGAGCUCUUAAAGCUGCUUGCUUUCAAUUUAAAAAAAAAAAAAAAAAUCCUUAAAUUGCGGCGAUUCCAGUAAUGGGAAAAGCCGGGGCGAGCUGGGGCAUUUUAACUGAAAAAAAAAAAAAGAAUGAAAACCCUUCCAAAAAGCUCUUAAAGCUGGUUUUUAUUGAAACCGAAGCUUCUAAUGAUGGUUUGGAAGAAAUCGCUGCUUUCAAAGCAGAUUUCUGGGAGAGGAGGCAGCUCUCGCAGCUCUUUAAUUCUUAAUAUAUUUUAAUAUGAUACUUGAAAAAAGCCGGAGCGAGCUGGGGCGGUUUUAAUUUCUUUAAAAAGAGCUUUUAAAGCUGCUUUAAUUUAAAGAAAGAAAAAGCGCUCGAUACGCUGUUUUCUGCUAAAAAAGCUCCUAAAUUUAUUAUUUUUUUAAUAAGAAAAAGCUCUUAAAGCUUAAAAUAAUGGAAUUUAGUCCCCACGUGGGGCCGGGCCGGGCAGCGCAGGCGGGGGCGGCCGGUUUGGGGUGAAAUGCGGCAUUUUCAGACGCAGGAUGGAUUGAGAGGAGCCAAUUUUGAGGGAAGAGCAGGAAAACUGAAGAGUGAAGAUGGAAUCGGCAGGGAAAGGAAAGUUUUUCUUCGCAGUGGCCCCAUCUGGGGGGAAAAAAGGACUUUUUGGUAAAAUGGCGGCAGUUGGGCAGGGGAGGAGCAGAGAGAAGAGAGGAAAAAAGGAGAGAAAGACAGAAAAUAGAACAAAACAAAAAAGAAAAUAGAAGAAAAUCAGAAAAAAAUUAGAAAAAAAUAGAAAAAAGAAAACGAAAUUGAAAAAAUAGAAAUUGGAAAAGCGAAAACUGAAAAAGCAUAGAAAAAAUGGAAAAAUAGAAAAUAGAAAAAAGAGAAGAAAGUUGGAGAAUAGAAGAAACUAGAAAAACUAGAAAAUUUGAGAAAAUAGAAGAAAUUAGAAAAAAAGAAAAUCGAACAAAUAGAAAAUAGAAGAAUCUAGAAAAAUAAUAGAAAAAAUGAAAAUAGACUGUAAAUAAAUAGAAAAAUUACAAUUGGGAAAAAUGAAAC
rnacentral:lncRNA from 1 species